rnacentral:rRNA from 1 species
UUGCUCUCGGGUGACGAGCGGCGGACGGGUGAGUAAUGUCUGGGAAACUGCCUGAUGGAGGGGGAUAACUACUGGAAACGGUAGCUAAUACCGCAUAAUGUCGCAAGACCAAAGUGGGGGACCUUCGGGCCUCAUGCCAUCAGAUGUGCCCAGAUGGGAUUAGCUAGUAGGUGGGGUAACGGCUCACCUAGGCGACGAUCCCUAGCUGGUCUGAGAGGAUGACCAGCCACACUGGAACUGAGACACGGUCCAGACUCCUACGGGAGGCAGCAGUGGGGAAUAUUGCACAAUGGGCGCAAGCCUGAUGCAGCCAUGCCGCGUGUAUGAAGAAGGCCUUCGGGUUGUAAAGUACUUUCAGCGGGGAGGAAGGCGAUAAGGUUAAUAACCUUGUCGAUUGACGUUACCCGCAGAAGAAGCACCGGCUAACUCCGUGCCAGCAGCCGCGGUAAUACGGAGGGUGCAAGCGUUAAUCGGAAUUACUGGGCGUAAAGCGCACGCAGGCGGUCUGUCAAGUCGGAUGUGAAAUCCCCGGGCUCAACCUGGGAACUGCAUUCGAAACUGGCAGGCUAGAGUCUUGUAGAGGGGGGUAGAAUUCCAGGUGUAGCGGUGAAAUGCGUAGAGAUCUGGAGGAAUACCGGUGGCGAAGGCGGCCCCCUGGACAAAGACUGACGCUCAGGUGCGAAAGCGUGGGGAGCAAACAGGAUUAGAUACCCUGGUAGUCCACGCCGUAAACGAUGUCGAUUUGGAGGUUGUGCCCUUGAGGCGUGGCUUCCGGAGCUAACGCGUUAAAUCGACCGCCUGGGGAGUACGGCCGCAAGGUUAAAACUCAAAUGAAUUGACGGGGGCCCGCACAAGCGGUGGAGCAUGUGGUUUAAUUCGAUGCAACGCGAAGAACCUUACCUGGUCUUGACAUCCACAGAACUUACCAGAGAUGGUUUGGUGCCUUCGGGAACUGUGAGACAGGUGCUGCAUGGCUGUCGUCAGCUCGUGUUGUGAAAUGUUGGGUUAAGUCCCGCAACGAGCGCAACCCUUAUCCUUUGUUGCCAGCGGUUCGGCCGGGAACUCAAAGGAGACUGCCAGUGAUAAACUGGAGGAAGGUGGGGAUGACGUCAAGUCAUCAUGGCCCUUACGACCAGGGCUACACACGUGCUACAAUGGCAUAUACAAAGAGAAGCGACCUCGCGAGAGCAAGCGGACCUCAUAAAGUAUGUCGUAGUCCGGAUUGGAGUCUGCAACUCGACUCCAUGAAGUCGGAAUCGCUAGUAAUCGUAGAUCAGAAUGCUACGGUGAAUACGUUCCCGGGCCUUGUACACACCGCCCGUCACACCAUGGGAGUGGGUUGCAAAAGAAGUA